GGUCGUGGGUACCAAUACCUGGUGGACUGGGAGGGCUACGGCCCGGAGGAGCGGUCGUGGAUUCCCCGCUCGUUCAUCUUGGACCCCUCCCUCAUCGAGGAUUUCCUCCGGGCCAACCCCGAUCGCCGCCCUGUUCCGCCUGGAGGCGGUCGUUUGAGGGGGGGUACUGUCACGGUGCCCCCGGCUGGGCCCGCGUCAUCUCAUCCACCUGUUGACAACGGCUGUGCCUCAUCAGUGCCAUCAGGAUCCAGGCUCUUAAGGAGGACCAGGACCUGUACUCGACGCUAGUUCGUUGUACUCCUCGGACUCUUGCCGUCAUCAGGAACCUACGGUCGCACUCACCUCUCGCUGCCUCUCGUCUUGGCGUCUCGUUGGAAGAUCCUCGGACCACGGUGUUCGCCCACAAGAACCUCCAACCAGCUCCUGUGGAUUUCUCCCCUGUUAAUUCUACCUCCAGAAUUAAAGAAUCUUUGAACUUAC